AUCCCAAAUAAGGUGAGUUUAUACUCAGUGCUUAUUUGAUUCAUGGGAGGCCUAAAUCAAUUACUAAUGUGGAGGUUUCGCUGAUAAUGCCUUUUCUCUUUUUUCAAGGAGGCGUUUACUAGUAACCGACCAUACAUAC